GGCCCGUUGGUCAAGUGGUUAAGACACCGCCCUUUCACGGCGGUAACACGGGUUCGAAUCCCGUACGGAUCACCA
rnacentral:tRNA from 1 species